rnacentral:pre_miRNA from 1 species
CACAUACUCCCUCCGUCCGGAAAUACUUGUCAUUAUAGAUACAUCCCCUUUUAUCCAUUUUGAUGACAAGUAUUUCCGGACGGAGGGAGUAUUAG